rnacentral:rRNA from 1 species
UACGGAGGGGGCUAGCGUUGUUCGGAAUUACUGGGCGUAAAGCGCGCGUAGGCGGCUUUGUAAGUUAGAGGUGAAAGCCCGGAGCUCAACUCCGGAAUUGCCUUUAAGACUGUAUCGCUAGAAUCAUGGAGAGGUUAGUGGAAUUCCGAGUGUAGAGGUGAAAUUCGUAGAGAUCGGGAGGAACACCAGCGGCGAAGGCGGCAAACUGGAUAGGCACUGACACUCAACAACGAAAGCGUGGGGAGCAAACAGG